CAGGCUUAACACAUGCAAGUCGAGGGGCAUCAGGAAGAAAGCUUGCUUUCUUUGCUGGCGACCGGCGCACGGGUGAGUAACACGUAUCCAACCUGCCCUUUACUCGGGGAUAGCCUUUCGAAAGAAAGAUUAAUACCCGAUAGCAUAAUGAUUCCGCAUGGUUUCAUUAUUAAAGGAUUCCGGUAAAGGAUGGGGAUGCGUUCCAUUAGGUUGUUGGUGAGGUAACGGCUCACCAAGCCUUCGAUGGAUAGGGGUUCUGAGAGGAAGGUCCCCCACAUUGGAACUGAGACACGGUCCAAACUCCUACGGGAGGCAGCAGUGAGGAAUAUUGGUCAAUGGGCGCUAGCCUGAACCAGCCAAGUAGCGUGAAGGAUGAAGGCUCUAUGGGUCGUAAACUUCUUUUAUAUAAGAAUAAAGUGCAGUAUGUAUACUGUUUUGUAUGUAUUAUAUGAAUAAGGAUCGGCUAACUCCGUGCCAGCAGCCGCGGUAAUACGGAGGAUCCGAGCGUUAUCCGGAUUUAUUGGGUUUAAAGGGAGCGUAGGUGGACUGGUAAGUCAGUUGUGAAAGUUUGCGGCUCAACCGUAAAAUUGCAGUUGAUACUGUCAGUCUUGAGUACAGUAGAGGUGGGCGGAAUUCGUGGUGUAGCGGUGAAAUGCUUAGAUAUCACGAAGAACUCCGAUUGCGAAGGCAGCUCACUGGACUGCAACUGACACUGAUGCUCGAAAGUGUGGGAAUCAAACAGGAUUAGAUACCCUGGUAGUCCACACAGUAAACGAUGAAUACUCGCUGUUUGCGAUAUACAGUAAGCGGCCAAGCGAAAGCAUUAAGUAUUCCACCUGGGGAGUACGCCGGCAACGGUGAAACUCAAAGGAAUUGACGGGGGCCCGCACAAGCGGAGGAACAUGUGGUUUAAUUCGAUGAUACGCGAGGAACCUUACCCGGGCUUAAAUUGCAGUGGAAUGAUGUGGAAACAUGUCAGUGAGCAAUCACCGCUGUGAAGGUGCUGCAUGGUUGUCGUCAGCUCGUGCCGUGAGGUGUCGGCUUAAGUGCCAUAACGAGCGCAACCCUUAUCUUCAGUUACUAACAGGUCAUGCUGAGGACUCUGGAGAGACUGCCGUCGUAAGAUGUGAGGAAGGUGGGGAUGACGUCAAAUCAGCACGGCCCUUACGUCCGGGGCUACACACGUGUUACAAUGGGGGGUACAGAAGGCAGCUAGCGGGUGACCGUAUGCUAAUCCCAAAAGCCUCUCUCAGUUCGGAUCGAAGUCUGCAACCCGACUUCGUGAAGCUGGAUUCGCUAGUAAUCGCGCAUCAGCCACGGCGCGGUGAAUACGUUCCCGGGCCUUGUACACACCGCCCGUCAAGCCAUGGGAGCCGGGGGUACCUGAAGUACGUAACCGCAAGGAUCGUCCUAGGGUAAAACUGGUGACUGG
rnacentral:rRNA from 1 species